GACGAACGCUGGCGGCGUGCUUAACACAUGCAAGUCGAGCGGUAAGGCCCUUUCGGGGGUACACGAGCGGCGAACGGGUGAGUAACACGUGGGUGACCUGCCCUCAGCUCUGGGAUAAGCCUGGGAAACUGGGUCUAAUACCGGAUAUGACUCCAUGACGCAUGUUGUGGGGUGGAAAGCCUUGUGCGGCUGAGGAUGGGCCCGCGGCCUAUCAGCUUGUUGGUGGGGNGAUGGCCUACCAAGGCGACGACGGGUAGCCGGCCUGAGAGGGCGACCGGCCACACUGGGACUGAGACACGGCCCAGACUCCUACGGGAGGCAGCAGUGGGGAAUCUUGCGCAAUGGGCGAAAGCCUGACGCAGCGACGCCGCGUGAGGGAUGACGGCCUCGGUU
rnacentral:rRNA from 1 species